GGCUCGGUGGUGGAUGGUCCACAUCUACAUUCUAUUGGAAUUCAUGAAGGGUACGGUCAAGCAGAAGGAGCCCAUUCGAUUCGGGCCUGAGCCA